rnacentral:rRNA from 1 species
AUGCGCUGCGUUAAAUCUCCUACUUUCUCUGUCAAGCUCAACGGGAGUUUAUCUCAUAGUUUUAUCCCGUCCAGAGGACUGAGACAGGGGGACCCCCUAUCCCUGUACCUCUUUCUCUUCUGCGUGGAGGGUUUCUCGGCACUAUUAAAGAAGGCGCAGGAGGAGGCUGUUAUCAAAGGGGUUUCGUUCGGUACCAACGGGCCAAUCGUUACCCAUUUACUCUUUGCUGAUGACGGUGUGGUAUUUGUGGAAGGUUCUAGGAAUAACUUUGAAGCACUCCGGACUAUUCUGCAGCAGUAUGAAGCUGCGUCCGGGCAGAAGGUGAACUUCCAUAAGUCCUCAAUUUUCUUCGGGAAAGGAAAGGAGGAUACUACAAAAGAAGAGAUAAAGAAGGUGAUGGGCAUUAAGGAGGAGGCGUUGAGUGAGCGGUAUUUGGGGUUACCUACAGUGGUAGGGAGCUCGCAGGAUGGAACUUUCAAAUAUGUCAAGGAGAGAGCAAGAGGGAAAGUAUCAGGAUGGAAAGGACGAGGACUAUCAAAGAUGGCUAGAAAGGUGCUUGUUAAAUCCGGCCUCCAAUCAACACCAACUUUUACCAUGAGCUGCUUCCAACUCACAAAGAAAAUGUGCGGGAAUCUGUCAUCUAUUUCGUCAAACUUCUGGUGGGGUGAAGCAAAUGGACAAAAGAAGGUUCAUUGGAUCGCAUGGGAUAAAAUGUGCACGAGAAAGCAUGAAGGGGCCUAG